rnacentral:rRNA from 1 species
AGCAGCCGCGGUAAUUCCAGCUCCAAUAGCGUAUAUUAAAGUUGUUGCAGUUAAAAAGCUCGUAGUUGAAUUUCGGGAUCAGUACGCUGGUCAUGCCUUUGGUAUGCACUGGUGUCACUGGUUUCUCCCUUCUGAAGAUCCGUGAUGUCAUUAAUUUGGUGUCGCGGGGAAUCAGGACUGUUACUUUGAAAAAAUUAGAGUGUUUAAAGCAGGCUCACGCUUGAAUACAUUAGCAUGGAAUAAUGAAAUAGGACGUUUGACCCUAUUUUGUUGGUUUCUAGGAUCGACGUAAUGAUUAAUAGGGAUAGUUGGGGGCAUUAGUAUUCAAUUGUCAGAGGUGAAAUUCUUGGAUUUAUUGAAGACUAACUACUGCGAAAGCAUUUGCCAAGGAUGUUUUCAUUAAUCAAGAACGAAAGUUAGGGGAUCGAAGACGAUCAGAUACCGUCGUAGUCUUAACCAUAAACUAUGCCGACUAGGGAUCGGAUGAUGUUAAUUUUAUAAUGACUCU